GAACUGCGAUACGUAAUGUGACUUGCAGAAUCUCGUGAAUCAUCAAAUCUUUGAACGCAAAUGGCGCGCCCGGGUAUUCCUGGGCGCACGCCUGUCUGAGUAUCAUUUCCUCUCCCUCCUGCGCCUCGUGCACUUUUCUUUUUGUGAAGAGUGUGCGCUGCGCGGGGUGUUGGCGGCCACCCCCCUCGGGGCGCCCGCUCAAACCAACAGAAAAAAAUCGUGUGCCGAGCCACGCGCCGCCCGACGCUCCACUUCCAACACGCUGUAAGCUUUCCGGCUCCCCGUGAGGAAAGAGCGCCGUCCGCGCGCGCGCGGCCCGCCCGCACACCCAUUCCCGUGAUCUCAGAUCAGGCGAGAGGACCCGCUGAACUUAA
rnacentral:misc_RNA from 1 species